AGGGAGCCCCUCCCUCUAAAAGCACUCUGUGUGGGGAAGAUGAGAGCCAGAGCAAAGCUCAGAGGAACCAACCUGGACCUGGAUCCAGCUGUGUGUCCUUCAGGAGUGACAAAUCAAAGAAGGAGAAUCCUGACUUCAAAGACAUCAGUUCAGGAGUAAAACAGAUCCAUGAGAGACUCAGAUCUGUAUCUGAACCCAGCUGUGUGUCCUUCAGGAGUGACCGGUCAAAGGAUAAAUUUCUCACCUUUAAAUCAUCAUCAUCUUCUUCUGCAGAGAGAGUGGACCAGCAGAGCUCAGAGACUCCCAGUGGUCCGUCUGUCCAGCAGCAUCAAACACAGCUG